rnacentral:rRNA from 1 species
AUGUUCAAUAUUCGUCAGACCAGUUCAGUUGAGGAAUAUGUUGAACGUUUCUCUGAACUAUAUGAUCAGCUUACUACCUAUGAGACAAAUCCAAAUACAGUCCAUUAUGCAACCAGGUUUAUGGAAGGAUUGAUACCGUCAGUGCGUUUGCUGGUAGGAAUUCAACAACCCCCCUCUGCUUAUGCAUUAGCUCUGCUGUCAGAAGAACUUGGUGAGAAUGCAGUACAUCCGGGCAGUGCAUUUCAGGGGUCAAGCGUUCUGUUCCCUCCAGCUCCAGAUCAUCAGUUAGCAAAGCUCUAA